rnacentral:rRNA from 1 species
CAGUCGCCGCGGUAAUACGAAGGGGGCUAGCGUUGCUCGGAAUUACUGGGCGUAAAGGGAGCGUAGGCGGAUCGUUAAGUUGGGGGUGAAAGCCCGGGGCUCAACCUCGGAACUGCCUUCAAUACUGGCGAUCUUGAGUGCAGAAGAGGAGAGUGGAAUUCCACGUGUAGCGGUGAAAUGCGUAGAGAUGUGUAGGAACACCAGUGGCGAAGGCGACUCUCUGGUCUGUAACUGGCGCUGAGGAGCGAAGGCGUGGGGAGCGAACAGGAUUAGAGACCCCCGUAGUCCCUGUCUCUUAUAC